rnacentral:rRNA from 1 species
AGCGUAUACACCCGGUCAGAAUGAAUCUCGCCCAGAAUCUUAGUCUGCCAGCUCACCACGGAGUAUACCCUACCUAGAAGAAUUGCCGUCAGAUGACGCUGCGCGUGCCUAUCAUGCAGUCGAGCGACAGAUAAGAGCUGCUCCUUGACGUAGCGCGACGGUGAGUACACGUGGGUACUACCUAUAGACUGAUAACUCCGGGAAACCGGGCUAAUGCCGAUACAUUUAGAACCGCAUGGUUCUAAAGUGAAAGAUGGUUUUGCUAUCACUUAUAGAUGGACCCGCGCCGUAUUAGCUAGUUGGUAAGGUAAUGGCUUACCAAGGCAACGAUACGUAGCCGACCUGAGAGGGUGAUCGGCCACACUGGAACUGAGACACGGUCCAGACUCCUACGGGAGGCAGCAGUAGGGAAUCUUCCGUCAAUGSGCGAAAGCCUGACGGAGCAACGCCGCGUGAGUGAUGAAGGGUCUUCGGMUCGUAAAACUCUGUUAUUAGGGAAGAACAWACGUGUAAGUAACURUGCACGUCUUGACGGUACCUAAUCAGAAAGCCACGGCUAACUACGUGCCAGCAGCCGCGGUAAUACGUAGGUGGCAAGCGUUAUCCGGAAUUAUUGGGCGUAAAGCGCGCGUAGGCGGUUUYUUAAGUCUGAUGUGAAAGCCCACGGCUCAACCGUGGAGGGUCAUUGGAAACUGGRARACUUGAGUGCAGAAGAGGAAAGUGGAAUUCCAUGUGUAGCGGUGAAAUGCGCAGAGAUAUGGAGGAACACCAGUGGCGAAGGCGACUUUCUGGUCUGUAACUGACGCUGAUGUGCGAAAGCGUGGGGAUCAAACAGGAUUAGAUACCCUGGUAGUCCACGCCGUAAACGAUGAGUGCUAAGUGUUAGGGGGUUUCCGCCCCUUAGUGCUGCAGCUAACGCAUUAAGCACUCCGCCUGAGCGGAGUACGACCGCAAGGUUGAAACUCAAAGGAAUUGACGGGGACCCGCACAAGCGGUGGAGCAUGUGGUUUAAUUUCGAAGCAACGCGAAGAACCUUACCAAAUCUUGACAUCCUUUGACAACUCUAGAGAUAGAGCCUUCCCCUUCGGGGGACAAAGUGACAGGUGGUGCAUGGUUGUCGUCAGCUCGUGUCGUGAGAUGUUGGGUUAAGUCCCGCAACGAGCGCAACCCUUUAAGCUUAGUUGCCAUCAUUAAGUUGGGCACUCUAAGUGACUGCGGUGACAAACGGAGAAGGUGGGGAUGACGUCAAAUCAUCAUGCCCUAUGAUUGGCUACACACGUGCUACAUGACAAUACAAAGGCAGCGAUCGCAAGUUCAGGCAUUCCCAUAGUGUUCCAGUCGGAAUUGAAGUCUGGCACUCGACUACUUGAAG